rnacentral:rRNA from 1 species
UUGACCUCGGAUCAAGUAGGGAUACCCGCUGAACUUAAGCAUAUCAAUAAGC